rnacentral:rRNA from 1 species
AUGUCUUUUUGAGUAUAAUUUAAGGUUUAAUCUGCUCGAUGAUUAAUUAAAUUGCCGCAGUAUUUUGACUGUGCUAAGGUAGCAUAAUCAUUAGUUUCUUAAUUAGAAUCUGGAAUGAAUGAUUGGACGAGAAAAUUUCUGUCUCUGUUUUAAAUGUUUUUUUAAUUUUAUAUUUAAGUUAAAAGGCUUAAAUAGUUUUAAAAGACGAGAAGACCCUAUAGAGUUUUAUAUUUAAUUUAAAUUGAUAAUAGUAUAAUUUUUUAAUAUAAAAAUAUUUAGUUGGGGUGACUUGGAGAUUAAUAGAAUUCUUUAAAUUUUUAAUUGAUGAUGGUUAAUUUUAAAUGUUAAUUUUUUUGAAUUUAGAAUAAAUUACCUUAGGGAUAACAGCGUAAUUUUCUUUGAAAGUUCUUAUUGAAUAGGAAGUUUGCGACCUCGAUGUUGGAUUAAAAUUAAUUUUUGGUGUAAUAGCUUUUUGAUUAGGUCUGUUCGACCUUUAAAAUUUUACAUGAUCUGAGUU